rnacentral:lncRNA from 1 species
AGGCUUAUGGGACUGAGCAACUAUUGGAUUCUUGGACUUCCCAUUCACAGCUAACCAUUGUUGGAUUAGUUGGACUUGUACUACAGCAUCCCAGAAGCAACAACAUGUCACUCAUUUGACACGCAAGUAUCUGAGUGAUGACCACUGCUGUACUGUCUUCCAUGGGGAGUCUACUUCCAUUCACCAGGACUAGGUGAGGGAGGGAGGAGAAGGAGGAGUCAAGCAGAGUCCAACCCAGUUCUUAAAGGACUUGACCUAGGAGGAGUCACUAUGGGAUCUAGCCUCCCUUCUAACCUUAUAACUGGGAGUUGGAUUUUGAGAUAUUAGGAAAAAGUAAAUAAAAUCCAUGAAGCAGCCCUACACUCUGUCUGGUCACAGAGCCAUUGCUUGUGGAGACAAUGGCAGGGGACACUUCAUGCCAGUGUCACAUCUGAGGAACUCCCGAAGCAGAAUGAGACCAGCAUCCCUUACAAGAAUAGGAAGAGGCCUAAUCUAUAGGAACCGAGGGAUGAGAAAUGAAGACAAAAAAUGUAGACAGAGGUCACAUUCAGGGUCUCUCCACAGACCUGAGUGGAGGAGAAGCCCCCGUGGGAGUUUUGUUGCUUGCUGAUCCACUUCACAAUCUUGGAUGCUGUGGACAGGUCUGAUGAAGACAGGUCCCGUGUGGGCCGGGA